GCUGAUGUAGCUCAGUUGGUAGAGCGUAUCCUUGGUAAGGAUAAGGUCACCAGUCCGAUUCUGGUCAUCAGCUCCA
rnacentral:tRNA from 1 species